rnacentral:rRNA from 1 species
CCUACGGGGGGCAGCAGUGGGGAAUAUUGCACAAUGGGCGAAAGCCUGAUGCAGCAACGCCGCGUGAGCGAUGAAGGCCUUCGGGUCGUAAAGCUCUGUCCUCAAGGAAGAUAAUGACGGUACUUGAGGAGGAAGCCCCGGCUAACUACGUGCCAGCAGCCGCGGUAAUACGUAGGGGGCUAGCGUUAUCCGGAAUUACUGGGCGUAAAGGGUGCGUAGGUGGUUUCUUAAGUCAGAGGUGAAAGGCUACGGCUCAACCGUAGUAAGCCUUUGAAACUGGGAAACUUGAGUGCAGGAGAGG